rnacentral:tRNA from 1 species
GAGGGUAUAUCUCAGUGGUAGAGUGCAUGCCUAGUAUGCACGAGGUCCUGGGUUCAAUCCCCAGUACCUCCA